AUCCCUAUCCCCCACCGGAUCCAGUCGCACCCCCACUCAGCCGUCUUUUGCCCGAAUCCGAGUACUCUUUGGACCUGCGGCGGCUGCUUGAAUCCCCGGCGUAGCAGUGAUGGAAGAUGCCGGCCUUGAAUUCUUGCAGGAUACCGUCGACCGAUUUCUCGUCCAGGAGGAGUUUGUCGACAGCCUUGAACACCCAGAUCCAGUACCUCUUGCAUUGUUAACGCCUGACGAAGUGAAUCCAGCCGCCAGGAAGCCCGGAAUGUUGCAUCUGGAUGCGGCAGCAAGUUGACGGUGGUGGCGCUGGUAGGCCGAGCUGUGGCGACCGACGGUAGCGGGAGAUAUCACCCACUGCGUCUGCGCAAUCUAUUGACAGGGUAACCCAGAAACACCUGGAUGGACGAAGAGGAUAAUUGUUUUGUGUUGUUUACCGCUGUACGUUCAUUGACAUGCUCAUCCUGGGGCUAUAUUAAUUUAUUUUUGGUCUCACUUGAAUUAA